rnacentral:rRNA from 1 species
UACGGGGGGGGCAAGCGUUGUUCGGAAUUACUGGGCGUAAAGGGCUCGUAGGCGGCCAACUAAGUCAGACGUGAAAUCCCUCGGCUUAACCGGGGAACUGCGUCUGAUACUGGAUGGCUUGAAUCCGGGAGAGGGAUGCGGAAUUCCAGGUGUAGCGGUGAAAUGCGUAGAUAUCUGGAGGAACACCCGUGGCGAAGGCGGCCAGCUGGACCGACCCUGACGCUGAGGCGCGAAGGCGUGGGGAGCGAACGGG